rnacentral:rRNA from 1 species
GUAGUAGCGGCAAGAGAGAGGCGUCAGCUUCGUGCGCGUGGGGAAGGAAGGGUCGAGGGAGAGAGGGGGCGGAGGGCUUCUCCUCUAUUGCGUCCUGUCCUUCCAUGAGCGCGAGACUGAGGAGACUUAGGUAGACGGAGGCAGUUUCCUAAGAACGGCACGAGAAGGUCGCCGCGGGACGCAAGGGGUCGAUCCCGGCCGGCUAAAAAGCAGAAAAAAUUUUAUAAAGUAAGUCAAGGCGGUGGACGGCUUCAUCGCUCAAAGAGCCACCUCCGACGAUGGUGUUCUUACGCCAUCCCCGACGCUUGGGUGGCCGGCUGGUCCCCGCUACCGCCCCCACGGCGGUUUGCGCUCGUACCCCGACGAGUUAGACCCGCCCACGCCCCAAAACGAGGGGAGGGACGGCGGAUUCAGCUCGCGGCCAGUGCCGAAAAACCAGGGCUCCUCCCUGCAGAGGCGCAGCGGCAACUCGACCCCAAACCAGUCUGCUCCGUCCAAAGAACUACGGCCCAAGGCCCGCCGCCCACGGAACCGAUCGCCGCUCCGGCCACGGCCGAGCAGCCUCAACGCCGUGUAGCUCUUCCUCGAGUGAAAAUCGGGGUGUAAGUGGCUGAUACACUUCUACUACCUCAGCCACUUCAACCUGUCCUCGUUCUCAAACGUCCCUCCGCUAAGCCUACCGGCCCCAAGGUCCUCCUCCAAGCGCCCGCUACCGCUAUGUAGCCGACCAUCCGCUCUACUAUCCCUCAGUCAACUAGGUUCCUUCUUUAGUAAACUCUCCUUAUCUCCCCGAGUUUCCCUGUCUCCCCCACUGGUUCCAUCCCCACUCUCCAGUCGCUACUUACUGUCGCGUCGUCUUAAACGACCUAACCACCCCUUUUCUUAUCACCCACUACAAUUUUUAUCGUCACUACCAGUCUCCUUUCAACUUCUUAUACAUGUCUCUUCUUAUUAAGCUCCGCUUGCUUCGGCUUAACCCCUGUCAUGACUGUCACUGUUGGCGUUCGUCAAAAGUAGUCGUAGUAUACACUUCUGAUCUCUAUUAUUUCCACCACACCAACAAGUACUUAGUCGUCCCUUGUCCGUACGGGUCAGUUUACGUGCCUUCCUAAAUGUUCCUGCCCGUUGAAGACAACAUUCAGCAUGAAGACACUGAGCCCUAUCGUCGCAAUAUAACUCCUUGUGGUCCGGAUGGUUACGUUCUUCAUUAUAUGUGCUUGUACUGAAGUUUAUAGGAUCCCUCCCUUUUCAAAGGUCAUCACUCCAGUUACGACUGUCAUUUAAAGUUUCUAUGGUCGUUUCUUGUCUCUUAAGUCCUUCUUUAGAACAUCCAUCAAAAUCUCUAUUAUUACACCUGAUAUCGUAUGGAUGACAUUCGUUUCCUAUGCCGGUAUGUGUUUGUAAAAGACUCUUAAUACCAGUAGCCUAACUAUCAAACCUCGUACCUUUUGGACUUUGUUAAGCUUACGUGUCUCCUCUUUUACAAGUUGUCCCCUUCAAACAAUCUUCUCUAAGUUUACGACAGCAACUACUAUCCCGACGAAAGUUCUGAAAACUCCGUAAGUGACUACAGUCCUUGUCCGGUGCCCGAGAAGUUUACCUUUAUCUUCUCUCCUAAGUCUUUAAUCGAUCAGCCGAGUUACGAUGUCUACAUUUAUGAGGUCUCACCUUUAAGAGGUUCUACUAAGUACUACGUGUCUAGUUUAAGUGACUAGUGAGAUAGGAUUCCCAACAAGUCUAUAACCCAGCUAUACCUUUGACCUUUGCACAAGACGUUCAACAACUUACCGAAGUUAGUGCACUUUCUAAGUUCAGGAUGUUCUCGUCCAUAUAAAUAUGUUGUCAGGAACUACAAGAACCCUUCCGUUUCUCUGGAAAGCUCCGUAACUUACAUAAAAUGUGGUACGACCUGGUUAAUAGAAGAAUAGGACUGUAGCGUCGAAUAGUAACAUAGCGACAAUGAGAACCCGUUCGACCAGAACACUUUCUUGAUAAACUACACUAACUAACGUACGCAAGGGGAGGAUUCUUCUUCAAAUACCACCCGGGGCAAGUCUUAACCCUAGGAGCCAACCUUGGUCUGGAGUAACAUAUGUUACGCCAAAACUUACGAACGCAAGUUGUUUUCGUCACCCUUCCCUGUAAGACCCAUGACGUUGUCAACUUUCUCUUCUUAUAAGCGGGUUGAUUAUGUUGUAUACCAGAACAUUACCUCCAUUACGAACAAACGCCGUUCAUAUUGAACCACAUACUCAAGAAGCUGUCCCACUUCGUUUUUAGUUAUGGACCACGUAACUUGAUAUUUCAAGAGCAUUUACGUGAGACCUCUCUUCCUUUCUAACUACUUCGUCAGUACAGGCACUUCCUAUACCUUUUAGCACCUUAACAACCAAGUCGAUCAGAGAUAAUACUGGAACGAGCCACGGAAACGUCACCUCCCGCCACGUUUCUUCGUGAAGAGGUCCAACUCUUCUAUACGUUCCAGCGCUUGUUUGGCGACCAACAUUGGAUGUGUCCUGAAUAAGUUUGAACGUAGCUAUCACCUUCGUAUCUUUUACGAUGUAUGUAUAAGUUUCUUUACACGUUAAUGACGAGUGGAUUAUUACACUGAACGUUGUAAUACGACUUCAGUAUGUAACUAGUACCUUUCAAACUUCUGCGCUUUCUAGAUGACCUCUUAUAAGAUUUACCGUCCUAUUCCUUGUUUCGCCCAAACCCAGUUGUUCGUCAACGUCUGUUCAAAUGAAAGUUAUCAAAGAACCUACGAACACGACUUCGUUUUUUCACCUUACUGAAGCUCAUGCGUAAAGCACUUUACAAUAGAUUGCCGAUGGUAAAACUGCUUGCUUCCGUGGAUGCAUACCAUGAACUACGGAUAUCCUCACCUUUCCUCGUCGACGACCUUCUGUAUACCCUGAUGGACACAGCGUCACCAGCCCAAGGUGGCAGACGGUACUAUUACCUUUCUAAGACGGAUUUUGACUCUGUUCCGGUAUGCUGCCGUCGUGAGAGGACGUAGUCGUCGAAACUCCUCUCGUUCUAUCCGUCGCAAAGGAGGUUCAGCACCAGCUUAGAAGACUUGGCCUUGCGCCUGGAGGAGCUCCUCCUCUCGCAGCGGUUCGAACAGGUUCUUGAGCUACUGAAGAGUUCCGGUCCCUCAAGGACGGGAAGGAACAUACUUUUAUAAGACUCGUCGACAUGUCUUAAGGAACCACCAAGACCACCUUUCCGUCGAAGACUACCUGCCUACGGAAACACAUUAAGAACUGGCGAUACAAUCGGAGGAUAGGAAAGCGGCAAGUUUCAAGCCAAUAGUCACCCAUCCCUUGGUGACCAGACGAACACCGAGAGUACGAGAAAAGGUUCUUCUGGUUGAAACUACUAUAAUGAUGACAUGGUCUCAUCCUCAUCGUAAAACCAACCCAACCAACGACCAUUAACCGUCUUCGUUGGAAACCGUAACGGUAGCAGUGGGAACCGCUACGCACCGGAUUCGUACAAACGAACAACAAAGUAGUAGAUUACCACAUUGUCACUGUCACGCUUAUCGACCAUAGUGAUACUGUCCUAUGUACCUGCUAUCACGUACAACUAUCGAUAUACAAGUCAGUCUGUUUUUAAAGGACCAGACAGAUCAACGUGACCUAAACGUCUCAGAUUUUGAUACAGGCGGCGAACAAAACCUUCCCGACCAGGUUUACUAGAGCAGAGGCCUUCCGAGGUAGACCUCUUUAAACGCGAGGACAACUAUCUCAAAGGUAGACAAAGAUGCAACGCAAGCUAACCCUGGUCGUGUGCGCCUGUUCGAACAGCGGCAGCGGCCUAACCACGGUUAAUGGUCGGUGUGGCGUCCUGUUCUCACUAAAUUGACAUCUGCAAGUACAGCACGGUAUGAUCAGAUAGUGAGGUGAGGUACAAUUCUAGGUUUCUUUUUAGAUGGUGAGGAAACUAGUCUACCACUAUCGAAACCUGGUACAUCGGCGGAAGAGGAGAGGAGAGAUUGGAACCAGCAAGAAUGAUGAGGGUAUUCCGAUCAAUAUCACCCUCAUUGAAUCGAUCAUUG